UUUCCCUCUUGGGGCUUGCAUUCUCUUUCUAGUUGAGGAGACAGAAGCUUAACUAAUCACACAAUCACAUAGCAAUGACUGUGAUAAGUGCCAUUGGAGAAAUGCAGGAUGAUAAAGAGAGUGUAACAGGAGUCUGUGGGGUCGGGGAUGGUUUCUUUGAGGAAGGGAUUUUUAGGUAGAGACCUGAGGGUUAAGUAGGAGACAUAGAAGAGGGGACAGAGAGUCACAUGUUCAAAUGCCCUGAGGAGGGGAAGGAGUGUGAUGGUCAGUGUGGCUGGAACACAGCAAGUGAAGACAGAAGGAACUUGGGAGAGGCUGGGGAAACAAGCAGAGGGCAGGGGGCAGGGCAGCAGGGCCCUGCAGGCUGUGGGAAGGUAGUGGACUUUAUCCCAAGAGCAAUUGGUAGCCAUUGAAUCUAGGGUUUUGAGCGGGAAAGUACUGUGACUGGAUUUAAGGAGAUGAGGCUGGGUGCAGUGGCUCACAUCCGUAAUCCCAGUACUUUGGGAGGUUGAGGCGGAAGGAUCAUUUGAGCCCAGGAGUUUGAGUCCAACCUGGGCAACAUAAGUGAAACCGUGUCUCUAGAAAAAUAAGAAGUUAGCCAGGUGUGGUGGCAUGAGCCUGCAGUCCCAGCUACGCGGGAGGUUGAGGUGGGAAGAUGGCUUCAGCCCGGGGAGGUUGAGGCUGCAGUGAGCUGUGAUUGCGCCAUUGCACUCCAGCCUGGGUGACAGAGUGAGACCUUGUUUCUUAAAAAAAAGAAAAAAGAAAGAUGAAUCUGGCUGCUGAGUGGACAGGCCUGGAGGAGGCUGGGAAUGGAAGCAGGAGAUGAGCUUGGAGUCUCUUGAGGCAGAGCAGGCAGGAUUUGGGUAGCUGCACAGCUGAAUAGGAAAGCCAAAUACUUGCGCUCUAGGUAUUAGCUCAAUUAUUGCCUUUCUGAGGGAUGAUGGGGAAACCACAAAAGCUCUCCAGAUGGCCAUUUCCUCUCCAUUGACAGAGAAAUAUCCUCUCCCUCCCUCCCCGGGAUGUCGUGGGAUGCCUUAAGAUGCAGGCCCUGAAAUAGUCCGUGCGGUGGAAACACAAGUUGUUAUUAACCCACCCACAUCCUGCCUCUCUGAGAGAUAAUGAUUUCUG
rnacentral:lncRNA from 1 species